UUCGCUAACGAGAUGAUGCAUAUUCUCAGUCUGGACUAUUCCCAGAUUUACAACCAACAACUAGUCUUAUCUUAGUCCAUGGAGAGGAAAAAGCAAACGAAGCACGUUGAGUUAUCUUUCAAUUGAAUUAUUAAAUACGACCGUGAAAUGCGUAACUUAUGGCUUCGGUCUCUCUCUUUCAAUUCUUUGAAUUGCUUUGCUUUCGCGCAGCCGGUGCUUGUUUGGCCAAAGAUAACCAAAUCGUCUGCAUACAUUGAGUGAGUAAUGCACGGUGCUGUCGGUGCCAGCUUUAUACCACUGAUUUGACCAUUUUGCUGUGCUAGGCUGAACAUUUGGGGAAGAUACUCCAUUAAAAUUCUGAACAAGUAAGGGAACAGCUCUGGAUCCCAAGACAAGACUUCCUCUUAACUAGCGAGGAGGUUUAAGGGAAGUUUCCUUCACCGGGCCUGGGAAGGAUAGAAAGAAGUGGAAUAUUCAAAGCAUCCUAGUAAGAAACAAAACAUGUCAAAAAAUCCUUUUUCUGGGUCCCUGAGACUCUUGUUUUUCCAUUUUGAUGUUGUUAUAGGCUUUUCACCCACCCGCCUUAUUCCCUUAUGAAGAGAAAGUUGACUAAAUAACUAGAUUCUCAAGCUCUCAUUAACUUAAACCUCUUCUUUCGCCUACUUGUUUUCCUGCUUGCUAAGCGGCUUGUCUUGUUCGCCUCGGCCCAGCUUCCUUUCCGUAGUGAGAGAAGUGAUUACACUCGACCAUCUUCGAGGCUGCUUUCUGCUAGCCAUAUUCCUAAUCUGGGUAUCCUUCCUUGUUCAGGAAUUCCUGGCCAUGGGCGGUAUUCACUUGAUAUCGCGUUCACAAGCUUCUUCUGGCGUACGUAAUGUGAGGUCUUUCCUUCGCUCCGCUACUAGUUCUCCUGGGCCAAGAUUGAUUUGGGGCAUCAUGUUCAAUUGUGAGUUGGACAGUUCGUUCCGGAUCUGCAUAGUCAGAAAAUCUCGUUCCAACCGGUCAUGAAAGUUAGUGGAAGUGUAUGACUGCUUUCUUUGUUAGGUGAUUGAUAGAGUUUCGUUUUCCAUAACUCUCGAGCUCAUUCAUCGUAGAAAGCGUGCAUUGUGCUCUUCCUAUCGUCGUAUAAAGAAAGGUGUCUGUUUUUUCAGAAAGAGAGCAAAGCUGCCAGAAAAGUAGAAUGCCGUGAACAAGGGUGGUUUAAAAUCGUGCGUGAACCCCAAUUUCCACUCAAUGCGAUAAAAGCGGAGGCCUCUCUCUCCGGGCUAGAAACAAAAACGAAAGUGCUUGCAUUCCAUUAGCUAGAACCCGACAGUCGAAGGCGUCUAAAAGAACUCUUUAUUUCUUAUUGGCUUUCAUUUCACUUCGAGGUUAAUCCUAGCAUCUGAUCCCUUACCAAUUAGGGAAUUCUGUAUUCGGGUUUGUCUUAAAGUAUUUAUCCGGGUAAAUAAGGGAAAUGAACUGUUUCAUUCCUCA